rnacentral:rRNA from 1 species
AGUGAACGCUGGCGGCAGGCCUAAUACAUGCAAGUCGAACGGCAGCACAGCAGAGCUUGCUCUGUGGGUGGCGAGUGGCGGACGGGUGAGGAAUACAUGGGAAUCUGCCCAGUCGUGGGGGAUAACGUAGCGAAAGUUACGCUAAUACCGCAUACGCCCCGAGGGGGAAAGUGGGGGACCGCAAGGCCUCACGCUAUAUGAGCGGCCGAUGUCGGAUUAGCUAAUUGGUAGGGUAAAGGCCUACCAAGGCGACGAUCCGUAGCGGGUCUGAGAGGAUGAUCCGCCACACUGGGACUGAGACACGGCCCAGACUCCUACGGGAGGCAGCAGUGGGGAAUUUUGGACAAUGGGCGCAAGCCUGAUCCAGCCAUGCCGCGUGAGUGAAGAAGGC